CAAAGGUGUACUGCGAUUAGGAAAGUGUUCAGAACGUGAAACAUACCUGUCAUAUGCUCAUAUACAGUACUCAGAUAAGAAAUCUGGGUAUUGCCAGGUCCCAAAGCAGAGGCAGAGGGUCUCAUAGAAUUGGUCUGAAAUUUGAUUCCUUGCAACAGGUGAGAGAUACAGUAUUCAGUAUAUUUGAUAUACAGUAAAUAACAGGCAGAAACAUUUUAGAAAUAUUAGUCUUACUGUACGACACUGUUCAAUGAAAUAUUGAACUUUUUUCAAAUAUUAAACAAACUGCAUCCCCAAGCCCCAUUAUUUUCUUGAUUCACUGUGAAGUGAAUUAUGUCUUGAAGUCAAAAUCAUUUUCACCAGCAUGGCUC